UUCGCUUCUUGGCCUUUUGGCUAAGAUCAAGUGUAGAUAUAAAACUUCAGAAUCUUGAACUGUUGUUGCUACUGCAUUUGAGUAUAAUUUUAUUUACAGCCAAACUAAA